GCCAGCAGUAUCCCAGAUCUGGGCUUUAACGACUUUGCCUUUGAUGGUGACAGUUCUAGUCUGGAACUCAACGCCGAUAGUAGACUUGGAAUCGAAGCAGAACUCGUUCUUAGUGAACCUGGAAAGCAACUGAGUCUUACCCACAGCCGAAUCACCGAUCACAACCACCUUAAACACAUAGUCUAUUUUCUCUUCAUGAUUCUCCAGCUCACCACCAUUCAUCUCUUGAUUCAUUUCUCUAGUCUCUGCACAAAACCACCUGGGCUUGGAGCAGGAAGAAAUUGGAAGUUGGUUUCUCUGCUAUAUCAAUAUGUAACUUUUGAGAGCAGGACACUGGUCUUUGGAUCUUAGUCUUGGUGGUAAGUGGGAGCUAGUAAAGAAAGGAAAAAGGUUGAAAAAGACGACCACACAAGACUGGGUUCCCGACGAUUCUACUCACUAAAUAGAAAAGGGGAGGGAGUUGUGAAAUUUGGUCCGGUCU
rnacentral:misc_RNA from 1 species